rnacentral:rRNA from 1 species
AUUGAACGCUGGCGGCAUGCCUUACACAUGCAAGUCGAACGGCAGCGGACCUUCGGGUGCCGGCGAGUGGCGAACGGGUGAGUAAUGUAUCGGAACGUACCUUUCAGUGGGGGAUAACGUAGCGAAAGUUACGCUAAUACCGCAUAUUCUGUGAGCAGGAAAGCGGGGGAUCGCAAGACCUUGCGCUGAUUGAGCGGCCGAUAUCAGAUUAGCUAGUUGGUGAGGUAAAGGCUCACCAAGGCGACGAUCUGUAGCGGGUCUGAGAGGAUGAUCCGCCACACUGGAACUGAGACACGGUCCAGACUCCUACGGGAGGCAGCAGUGGGGAAUUUUGGACAAUGGGGGCAACCCUGAUCCAGCCAUGCCGCGUGAGUGAAGGAGGCCUUCGGGUUGUAAAGCUCUUUCGUCCGGGAAGAAAUCGCAUCAGCUAAUACCUGGUGUGGAUGACGGUACCGGAAUAAGAAGCACCGGCUAACUACGUGCCAGCCGCCGCGGUAAAAC